GUCUUUCUGUUCAUCUAUAUAUCUCAUAAUGCAUUUUCAAGUUCCUCUUUUCAUUAGUUUUAGCUCCAAAAUGCUUUUUUUUGUAUGAAUAUUGUUUCUUGCAUGUUUUGAAGGACUGUUCUUGAACUUUUGUGAUGAUGCUAUUUAGGUGACAUCAGGACAUUGUGUCUGUGAAUUGGAAAUAAUUUUUCUUUUGUUGUAUUUUUGGCAUAUGUUUUGCUUUUCAUUAAUGGAGUUUUCUUCUUCCUUAGAAGUGCUAGUUUUUUUGCAUGGUCACAAACUGUUUGUAUGUUGGAAAAGGAAUAUUUUAAUAUCUCAAGUUUAUGUUUUCACUAGAACUGAUCAACAUUUAGUUCAGGCCAAGACUUUUGAACCUUUUCCCAGUCUUGUCCUAAUUAGGUGGCCUAUAAUUUUGUCCAAGAUUCACUCAAUAAAAUAAAAAUGGAGAAUUGUAAAGGGCCUUAUAAGUGCUAUUGGAUACUAGUGAUUCUAGGUGUUCUUGGGAUUUCUUCAUCAAUUGGAAAAGCAUCUAUACUCAACUCAAUUCAACUAAACU
rnacentral:misc_RNA from 1 species